ACGCUGGCGGCGUGCUUAACACAUGCAAGUCGAACGGUAAGGCCCUUCGGGGUACACGAGUGGCGAACGGGUGAGUAACACGUGGGUGAUCUGCCCUGCACUUCGGGAUAAGCCUGGGAAACUGGGUCUAAUACCGGAUAGGACUCCUGGCUUCAUGGUUGGGGGUGUAAAGCUUUUGCGGUGUGGGAUGGGCCCGCGGCCUAUCAGCUUGUUGGUGGGGUAAUGGCCUACCAAGGCGACGACGGGUAGCCGGCCUGAGAGGGUGACCGGCCACACUGGGACUGAGAUACGGCCCAGACUCCUACGGGAGGCAGCAGUGGGGAAUAUUGCACAAUGGCGCAAGCCUGAUGCAGCGACGCCGCGUGAGGGAUGACGGCCUUCGGGUUGUAAACCUCUUUCAAUAGGGACGAAGCGCAAGUGACGGUACCUAUAGAAGAAGGACCGGCCAACUACGUG
rnacentral:rRNA from 1 species